UAACGAAUCUUCCGCAAUGGGCGAAAGCCUGACGGAGCAAUGCCGCGUGUGGGAUGAAGCGCCUUCGGCGUGUAAACCACUGUCAGGGAAUGGAACCAAUGAUUAUUCCCAAAGGAAGUGGCGACUAACUCUGUGCCAGCAGUCGCGGUAAUACAGAGGCCACAAGCGUUAGUCGGAAUCACUGGGCUUAAAGGGUGCGUAGGCGGGCCCGCAAGCGUCUUGUGAAAUCCCAUGGCUCAACCAUGGAAUUGCAGGGCGAACUGCGGGUCUUGAGGCAGGUAGGGGCCGGAAGAACAGUAGGUGGAGCGGUGAAAUGCGUAGAUAUCGGAAGGAACAUCGGUGGCGAAGGCGUCUACCUGGCCUAAUACUGACACUGAGGCACGAAAGCGUGGGGAGCAAACAGGAUUAGAUACCCGAGUAGUCCCUGAGCGGGCUGGCAAGGCGCAU
rnacentral:rRNA from 1 species